GAUGAACGCUGGCGGCGUGCCUAAUACAUGCAAGUCGAGCGAACAGACGAGGAGCUUGCUCCUCUGACGUUAGCGGCGGACGGGUGAGUAACACGUGGAUAACCUACCUAUAAGACUGGGAUAACUUCGGGAAACCGGAGCUAAUACCGGAUAAUAUAUUGAACCGCAUGGUUCAAUAGUGAAAGACGGUUUUGCUGUCACUUAUAGAUGGAUCCGCGCCGCAUUAGCUAGUUGGUAAGGUAACGGCUUACCAAGGCAACGAUGCGUAGCCGACCUGAGAGGGUGAUCAGCCACACGGGAACUGAGACACGGUCCAGACUCCUACGGGAGGCAGCAGUAGGGAAUAUUGCGCAAUGGGCGAAAGCUUGACGGAGCAACGCCGCGUGAGUGAUGAAGGUCUUCGGAUCGUAAAGCUCUGUUAUUAGGGAAGAACAAAUGUGUAAGUAACUAUGCACGUCUUGACGGUACCUAAUCAGAAAGCCACGGCUAACUACGUG
rnacentral:rRNA from 1 species